CCUAGCAUAGCUCAGUUUGGUAGAGCGCGCGGUCGAUAACCGCUCGGUCCCAGGUUCAAAUCCUGGUGCUAGGACCA
rnacentral:tRNA from 5 species